AUACAUCAAGCCACCAACUAACAUAGACAUUAGAAAAUGUGAUUGCUAGUUUCUAGUUUUGAAGACCAGAAACAAGAGUUUGUUGAUAUGGAUGGUCCAAAAUUAUUCUCUAACAAAACCCAGAUGGUGCUGCGCUGCACCAUAAAGUAAUCUCGUGGUUGGUCCCACAAGUGCAUACAAUAAUAACACAGAUGAAAAUUAACUGCCACGUGUUUGGUAUCCCGCAUCGUCUCUUUCGCUGCAGCUGCACUCUUUGUAUCAACUUUCGGAGACGUACGAUGGAGAGAUAGGCGCAAAGGUAUAUAUAAUUCCUGUUAUUUUACUUGUUUUGUUGAUUUAGUGACCUUAUUGUCCAAAUAUUUAAUCAAAUCUGUGAUUUCUGUGAUUCAAACAAAUGGGUUUCCUCUGUCUUAUGUGUUCAAUUAUCAGCUGUAAUUUUUUUUUUUUAGUUAAUUGAGGUUCUGAUGCUACUGUUAACUUGCUGUAAAUCAAUGUAAUAGGAAAAUGUUGGUGAAAGAUGUGUUCAGUUUACAGAUUCUGUUCCUAACUCUUUAACUACAGAACUCUGUGCUGCUCUUUGAACUUAUGUGGUGCAGUUUUGCUAUGCUUAUACCAGUAUUUUUAAUACUGACAUUUUAGUGGAUAAAUUAUUAUAAAUAUCAUCUGUAUUGUUUUUUAGAUUUAUUUAAUGUAAAUUUUAUUGAGGGCUUUGAUAGAAAUUUGUAACUUGAAAGCAAAAAAAAAUCUCUUCGAAUUCUUUUGGAACAAAUGUUUGGGCCAAUUGUUUAAGAAAUGCAGAAUUUUGAUUAUUAGAUAUUCCUGCAUUGUUGUCUGGUAUUUGACAUGUAGGCAACUCCCUGUUCAACAUUUUUAGUAACUCAAUUUAUCCUAGUGGGCUUGGCAAUUCUGUAUGUUAUCUUCUACUGAGAAAUUGAUAAACCUAAUUUCCAUUGCUUGAUCUGAGUGCACUUGCUUAUGCAUCUUCAGUGGGAAACAUGCUCUUGUUCAUAAUACAGGCAAGUGAUAUUAUUGUUCUAUAACUUCCUUGGGAACAACUGAUGUUUAUUUGCUUCUAGUUGAUCAUCAAAGAUAUUGCUGUUUUAUGUGCAUCAUCCAAGUAAUUGCAGCUUUUAGUUUACUCUUUUUACAUUUGAGGAUUUGGCUGUUUGUGAAAAGUCAUCAAAGCCAUUUGUUUAUUAUUUACUUCUUGGGGAUAUAUGCAAAUAUUUUCUGGAAUUAAAACUUGGAGCAGCUAACUCCUUAUAAUGGUGAGAUUAUAUUAUAGCAUACUUUGGGAUGGUUUCAAAUCCUGUUUAAUAGCAGCACUGCUGCUGCACUAAUAAAAGAUUUUUUUUGUUGUCAUGAAAAGGGUCCCACAACCACAAAAGCAUUUGGACCAUUAAAAAGAUGCAGGAAGCUUAGAUUAGAAGAGGGAACCAAAAUCCCACAUCACUUAUUCGUGAGAAAAUCACUCUUUAAAAGAUGCAGGAAGCUUAGGUCGUCUCUUCGGAGAUACCCAAUAAAAUUGGAACAACACAUAGAAGAUUAGCAUGGCCCCUACUCAAGGAUGAUGCACAAAUCGAGAAAUGGUCCAUCUCUUUUUUUUUUUUUUUUUUUUUUUCUAAUCCUUUCCUUCAAUCAAAAUUUGAUUUCUCUUUUUAUCCAUUUUGUAUUGUAUUCUCAUGCUGUUAUUUUCUAGAAGUGCUGACCUUUAUGUUGUUCACUGGUUAAUGCUGUAAGGUUUUAUAUUUCAGAGACAAAAUACUUGGUUUUGGGCAUUGAUAAUACAGUAACUUAAGAAAUUGCUGUGAAUAUCGUAUCCCCAGAACGGAUUAAUAAUCUUUGUUUAAGUGAAUUACAUUUUUGGUCUGUACUGUGUUGUAUAUUGAGGUCGGUGAGGUUUACAAGAAUUAGUUUUCGUUGGUUUCAGUAUUUGAACCACGAAGCGUAAUCUCGGCUAGGAAGCCUAAUAAUGUGAUAAACAAUUGCUCCAGAAAGCAGUUUAUCACCCUAUCUUAAUUGCUAUAUUUAAGUUAACAACCGACUCUGGUAUGCUUGGCAGUUAUGUAUAAUAUCAUCUGCAGGGAAAUUGACAACCUUGACUUUGAUUGCUCCAUCUGAUAUGAGGUGGCUUGAAGCUUGAUUACACAACCUCAGAGGCAAUCAUGUACUUUUUCAUAUUUUAAUUGUCGUCAUCUGUUCAAAAGAAUAUAGACAAGUGAUGUUGUACUACUCCCAUGGGAACAACAGAUCUUCUCCAUCAUUUGUUCGAAAGAAUACAGGCAAGUGAUAUUGUAUUAUUACUCCCAUGGGAACAACAGAUCUUUCUCCUAUUAAUUAGUAUGAAUAUUCUUGCUUUAUGUGCAUCUUUCCUUAUUUCAGUACAUUUGGUAUGUUGUUCAUUGUCUCUCAGCCAGCCAAUACUGUUGGGAAGGGGAGACAAUUCAAGAUAUUUAAUCAUUUUACAUUUGAGGUUUCUUAGCUUUUGUGAACUCAAUGGGCGGUGAUCAGCCAUAUUGAUGGUAUUUACCUCUUGGAGAAAUAUAAGAAACAUUUUAUGGGAUUAAAACUUGGUGUGGCUGAUAUACUUAUAACUGUGAGAUUAUGUUAAAGCAUGAUUGGGAUGGUCCCAACUAUUUUAAUAGCUGCAUUGCCCAAUAAUUAAUCUUUUUGUUGCACAUGAAAAAGGGUCCCACAACCAGAAAAGCAUUUAGAGUGAUAGGAGAUGGAACCUAAGCCCACAUCGCUUGUUUAUCCUAAAGUUUGAGUCUUUAAAUAAAACAUGCAGGGCGAGUGGGCUGUCUUUUCGGAGACAUCCGAUAAAAUUGGAACGAUACAGAGAAGAUUAGCAUGGCCCCUGCGCAAGGAUGACACGCACAAAUCGAGAAAUGGUCCAAAUUUUUUUUUUUCCUUCUUUACCUUCCUAGUCCAAUUCCACUCCGUGCUUUUUUUUUUUUUUACCUCCUUCCUAACAUUCAUCGUCCAAAUAUCUUUUUCUUCCUUGACCUCUUACUAUUUGAAGAACUCCUUUACCUUCAUACUCCAAUUCCUUUUUUCAUCCUUGUCUUAUUAUUUCAAGCACUCCUAAACAAACACAACCUCCCCCCCCCCCGGGUGUUACCUUAGUCGUCCAAAUUUUUUUUUCCUUCCUUGCCUUAUUAUUAUUUAAAGCACUCAAUUAAUGUUUGCUAUUUCUGUAAGUUAUGAGGUUUAUUUUGUUGUAUGGUUUAUGGUAUGCUAAUAAUUGUUUCAGAGCCAAAAUGAUUUUGGGCGUUAAUAAUACAUAAAAUGAAAAAUCGCAUUUACUUUUACUGUGAAUAUGGUGUCAGUCUGUUAUAUAACUCUGUCCAAGCAGGAUUAUAAGAUGGACAUGGACUAUUGGUUGGAGAGACCAGAGAGCUUAAUGUUGCAGUAUACUGUUGCUGCAGAAAGCAGUUGAUCACCCUAUCUUAAGUUCAACAUUCCAGUUAAGAUGGAAUAGAACAUGAUUACAUUAGAGGCAAUUAGAUCAUAAUGGUUCAUCGUUGAUUAAUAUCGUAUAAUCAAAAUAUUAUCAACCUGACAUGCAUCCUAGGUAAAGUAGAAGCGUGUGAUCUUUUCAAGCUGGUUACUAAAUUAAAAUUGCCGCUGCUUCUUAUUUAUGUGAAAUCUUUCUUGAGCUUUUCCAUCGCAAUCACUUUUAUUUGUGUAAUUUUCUAGUUGUUGCAGGAGGUUAGAGCUCUGAUCAUCCAUAUCUAGCCAGUGGAUCACUUGCAAACGAAGAUGCGUCAAGAUAUGAUUAAGAACUUGGGGACAUAACAAUCUUCACAAACCUGAAGUUGGCAAAGAUAUGCUGUUAUUUCAGCAAUUAAGGUGGGUUUUAUGGGACUCUCAGUCUGUAUUUAUACGCCUAUGCUUGAGAUUAACCAAACGUAGUUUACAUAAAAGACAUGAAUGCAUUAUCCUUUUGUAAUUUGGAACUACAUGAGCUAUUCAUCAUCUUUUGGAAGGCUGCUUAAAUUAUAAAAAGGAAAUCCAAUUGAUGAAUAUGUGUACUGUUGGAUUAAUAUUUUCUUCCUCAAAACAUUUUAUCCUCUUAGAAAUUAAGAUGUAGCAAGCAUGCCGCUGCACAGACAGAAAUCUAAAGAAUUACAUAAUGAUAUUCCUC
rnacentral:lncRNA from 1 species